UUGUGGUUAAAAAGCUCGUAGUUGGAUCUCGGCGGACUGAGGGCGGUUUGCUUGCUAGUAUUACUGCCCUAUAGUCCGUAGUUUUGCCAGAGGUUUCGGGGUGCUCUUAAUCGAGUGUCCCGGGAUGCUGGCAGGUUUACUUUGAAAAAAUUAGAGUGCUCAAAGCAGGCUAUUACGCCUGAAUAUUCGUGCAUGGAAUAAUAGAAUAGGAUGUCGUUUCUAUUUUGUUGGUUUUCGGAAAUCGACUUAAUGAUUAAUAGGGACAGUCGGGGGCAUUUGUAUUCAAACGACAGAGGUGAAAUUCUUGGACCGUUUGAAGACAAACUACUGCGAAAGCAUUUGCCAGGAAUGUUUUCAUUAAUCAAGAACGAAAGUUAAAGGUUCGAAGGCGAUUAGAUACCGCCCUAGUUUUAACCAUAAACGAUGCCAGCUAGCGAUCUGCGGACGUUUUUUUUGUAGACUCCGCAGGAAGCUUCCGGGAAACCAAAGCAUUUGGGUUCCCAGGGGAAGUAUGGUUGCAAAGCUGAAACUUAAAGGA
rnacentral:rRNA from 1 species